rnacentral:rRNA from 1 species
UACGUAGGGGGCAAGCGUUGUCCGGAAUCAUUGGGCGUAAAGAGCGUGUAGGCGGCUCGGUAAGUCCGCUCUGAAAGCCCGGGGCUCAACCCCGGGAGGCGGGCGGAUACUGUCGGGCUAGAGUCCGGAAGAGGCGAGUGGAAUUCCUGGUGUAGCGGUGAAAUGCGUAGAGAUCGGAAAGAACACCAACGGCGAAAGCACUCUGCUGGGCCGACACUGACACUGAGAGACGAAAGCUAGGGGAGCGAAUGGG